GAAUGCUCAUCGCAGUCUAAUCCAAGGUUCCUUCGAGAACGUUUGGUGGUCUCAAGAACCUUCACUUCCAGGAACGGCUGCUGGAAUCAGGGGGAGGGAGAGUGCGACAGAAAGAGGCAUACAGCACUCUGUGAACCGCCAGCUUCUUUACAGAUGACCUUUGGUGGCAUACCGUCCUGGUGGAGGUUGUCAGUGACUCUCUGCUGGACAUCAGUCUAGUAUGAUUGUCUUCUAUAUGAUCAUGUAAACCAUGAUAUUACAUUUCUGCAUUAAAAAUGUAUUUUUUAUUGAUCUUAUGUAAUACCUACAAUUUCAGAGUAUUGAAUUUUUGGGUUUUUAUUCAGGUUAUUAAAGACCAAAUGGCCUUUAUUCUCUACUAAGUCAAACUGUCUGAUAAUUAUUUUGUGGAUUGGGUUAAAUUGUAUAUAAAACAAGAGUUACACAUUUUAACUAUUUUUUCAUGUCUUUACAACUGAGUGUUUACAGUGUUUGUAAUAGACUACUGUUAUAACAUUGGUAAAAGGUUUGAGUUGUUUUACAAAACCUAGCUAUAGAGCUAUAAUAGUAGUUAUCUUAGUUUAGUUUAUGUCGGCUUCAAGGUUUUCAUUGCCAGUGUGACACUAGCCUUUCUCAAAGUGAUAAAUGUACUUUUAUUUUUUUAACGAAGUUUAGUGGGAGAUGUUUAACUUUCUGUUUAAUUUUGUUGACAAAAUAAACCACAAGUAUUUGACACAACCUAAAAAUACCUUAAAUAAAUGAAAUGUAUAGUUGUAAAUAAUAGCACUUUUUUAAAAUCAAAUUAAUUAUCCAAUGUGUAGGGGAAAGUAAUGGUAACAUAAACAAGGAUGACUCCAAACCAACACCACCUUCAUCUCCUUGCAUAAUGUAGAUCAAUGACGUCUUCUCUUCAGCCAGUUGGUGUUAAUGAUGUUAUCGAUACUUGUAGUUUUGCUUUUCUUGACAUAAAUUUCACUUCAUCAGCCAAUUUCACACUGUUAAUUCACUAACACUGACUUUCAUUUCUGCCCGUCUGUCUUUUAUUUGUUUUGUUAUGCAUUUUCUGUUUUCAAACCAUAUUUCUUUGAGUUUUCUGUCUUGAAGCUGUUUUCUUUGAUCUACCUGGGUGCAACAGCCCCUUGAGGUCUGCAAGCACCCUUUUAACUGCACACUCGGUUGCAUAAUCUGUUUAACAUAAUAUGUUUUCCCUAACUCGAUAGGAAAAAAGGAAAAUACAUUUUUUUUUAAAAUAUCUUUAACAAAGCUGGAAUAUUAGGCUGUUAAUUAUAAAAUGGUUUUCUUUAAUAUCUGUGAUUGUUUUUUGUUUACUUUUCCUACAUGAUUGCUGGAUAGAAUCUCUUUUAGAAAAUCUUUUGUUAAAUGCAUUGCCAAAAUUAUUUUGGAUAUAAGUCCCAAUUGUGGGGCACUGUAUAUGCUGUUGCUUUAUAUUAGCUUCUCUGUAAUUUUGCUGUUCUUCCACACAGAACUGCAUCAACCUGACUAGAGAGUCAAAGUGGUUUUAAAUUUAAAACAAGAGACACUGAACAAUCAGUCUGCAGUUUGGACAUGCUUUUGUGCACAAGGUUAAAUAAUUAAUUGAAUGCAACAAGUUUACUCAGCACAAGCCUAAAGUGAGAUUCAUGUUUUAUUUUCGACUGACAGACCUAUGUGAUGUAAAUCUUGCUGGUUUAUUUACUGGUACAGAUCACACCCUGUUCAAACUGCACAGACUCUGUGCUUUGACAUGACACAUACAAUGUUGCAAAAACGUUAAUUUAGCUUUUUUUGUCACUCUUAAGUGUUUCAGAUAUUCCAAAAAAAUUUGAUUUCACACAAAAAUAAACUGAUAAAAAUGUUUUCUGAGUUUUCAAAUUAGGAUUUUACUUAUUAAAGAAAAUAAGCUGUCCAAACCAACUUGGCCCUAUAUGAAAAUAUAGUCAGGAAUUGUUAAUAAUUGUGAUUAAAAAUGUUUUUGGUUCAGUUUCACUAACCACAACAGGCCUGAUUAUUGUCAGACCUAAAGAAAAAUAAUUUUUUAAGGUUUCGAGACUCCAGCAAACCACAGUGAGACUCCUUAUCCUCAAACAUAAAAAGCAUGGAAGAGUGGUAAACCUUCCUAGCAGUGCUUUUCUACCAAAAUUACUCCAAAAGUUCAUCUAGAAGAACCCAGAACAUCUAAAGCCUUACAGGCCUCACUUGCCUCAGUUAAGUUCAGUGUUCAUCAUUAAAUAACAAGAAACAGAGAGAGGGAAAAAAUGGCCUCCAUGGGAGGCAAAACCAUUGCAACCAUAAAGAACACAAGGCCCAUCUCACAUUUACCAAAAAAAUAUCAACAAGACAAAAGUGGAACAUCUGGAAGGUGUAUGUCCUGUUACAUCUGGAGUAACAGAAGCAAUGACACACUAACAGCCAAACAUGGUAGUGAUGGUGUGGUGGUCUGGGGGUGCAUGACUGAAUUGGGACCUGGAUGACUUGCUGUAGUUGAUGAAGUCAUGAACUCUGUUCUCUCAUAGAAGAUCCUGAAGGAGAAUGUCCGACCAUCCGUUUGUGGUCUUAUCAAGUAGGACAAUGAUCCAAAGCACACCAACAACUCUACCUCUGAAUAACUAAAAAAAAAAAGGUUUCGGAGUGGCUUAAUCAAAGUCUAGAAUAAAUCUGAACAAGAUGAUAUGGCAUAACUUUGAUGCUCGAAAACCCUCCUGUGUGGUUGAAUUAAAACAAUUCUGCAAAGAAAUGUGGACCAAAUUUCCUCCAAAGUCAUGUUAAAGAUUUAUUUCCAGUCAUCACAAACACUUGAUGUCAAUUGUUGCCUCCAAGGGUGGGGGAACCAUCAUUUUGGUUGAGGGGUCCAUUACUUUUUCACAUAUGAUCAGAUUGGUUUGGAAAACUUUUUUCCCUUAAAUUUGUUGGAUGAUUUGAAACAUUUAAGUCUGACUAAAAAGCAAAAACAGAAAAAAUCCUAAGGAGGCAAAUACUGGACAACAAAACUCAAAAUUUGCCAUCAAGAAGCAACAGAGCAACAAAUAAAUUCCAAGAGCCACUGAAAUCAGAAGGAAAACAAGGAUGCUUGUUUUGAGGAGAUAAGGUAUAAGGUAACUGUUCCCAAAAAUCCACAUCAAUAAGAAGGACACACACACUUUUUGAAAUAGCCAAUAAUGAAAACCAUCACAGUAUUACCACCUACUGGACCUGGUAGAGACACUUCACACCCAUGAGAUGAACAGUGUGGACCAACAGUCUAAGUUCAGUCACACGCCAACGCUGAAUGUGGUCAGAAAAUCAGAAACAACAAAGAUUCCACCUUCUUCAUCAAAGUGCACUGCUGGGAAACUCUUAUGAGGAAAGAAGGUUUUCCAGUAGAAACUAAUGAAAUUAGGUGAGUCAGAACUGACAAUGGAUUCCUGUUUCUGUCAUGGGGGAUGUCUUUGUCUUAAAGUUUCAAAGAAAAUAUCUCUGUAAUUGUGUUGGUUUAUUGAUGGAGGGAAUAAAAAAUGCCAUCUAUCUGUAUGUAUUUAAGUGGAUAUGUAUAUUUUUGCAGAUUUUAUAACAACUUUUACAAAUAAAAUGUCUGGGAAGUGA